rnacentral:rRNA from 1 species
CGCGUAGGCGGCCUGACAAGUCAGAUGUGAAAGCCCCGGGCUCAACCCGGGAAUUGCAUCUGAAACUGUUGGGCUUGAGUUCUGGAGGGGAUGGUGGAAUUCCCAGUGUAGCGGUGAAAUGCGUAGAUAUUGGGAGGAACACCUGCGGCGAAGGCGGCCAUCUGGACAGUGACUGACGCUGAGGCGCGAAAGCUAGGGGAGCGAACGGGAUUAGAUACCCCGGUAGUCCUAGCUGUAAACGAUGGGCACUUGGUGUUGGGGGUAUUGAGUCCCUCGGUGCCGGAGUUAACACGAUAAGUGCCCCGCCUGGGGAGUACGGUCGCAAGACUGAA